AUGUAUAGACGUCGUGAUUCUGGUAUAAAAAUAAAUAAGAAGGGCACUGAACUUGAUAACAGACAUGUUGUUCCGUAUUGUAUGAAACUGUUAAAGAAAUUCCAAGCUCACAUCAAUGUAGAGUGGUGCAAUAAAAGUGAGGUCUUAAAGUAUCUUUUCAAAUACGUGACCAAAGGAACAGAUCGUUCAAACGUUGUUUUCACAAAAUACAAAAAGAGGAAACAUGGUGCUGCUGAUGAUGCUAAUGACGUGCCAGAAAGUUCUUCUGCCACAAAACGUACAAAGGUUGAGCUGAGGGGAAAAUUAGGUGCUAAAAAAUAUGAAAUAGAUGAAAUAGCUAAUUUCCUGAAAGCUCGAUAUCUUUCUGACAAAGAAUCUCUUUGGCGAAUGUAUGGUUACGAUAUACACCACCAUUACCCUGCUGUUGAACGUCUUGCCUGUCAUCUUCCAAACAUGAACAAUGUUAUCUUUAAAUCGACCACCAACUUACCAUCAUUAGUUUCUACACCUUUCCUUUAA
rnacentral:rRNA from 1 species